AAAACUGUACUUUCAGGGAUCAUUUCUACAGUUCAUUACCAGAGAAAUUUCUCUGAAUAUGUAAAAUAAUAACAAU
rnacentral:snoRNA from 1 species